rnacentral:rRNA from 1 species
CAGUCGCCGCGGGAAUACGUAGGGUGCAAGCGUUAAUCGGAAUUACUGGGCGUAAAGCGUGCGCAGGCGGUUUGUUAAGACAGAUGUGAAAUCCCCGGGCUCAACCUGGGAACUGCAUUUGUGACUGGCAAGCUAGAGUGUGGCAGAGGGGGGUGGAAUUCCGCGUGUAGCAGUGAAAUGCGUAGAUAUGCGGAGGAACACCGAUGGCGAAGGCAGCCCCCUGGGCCAACACUGACGCUCAUGCACGAAAGCGUGGGGAGCAAACAGGAUUAGAUACCCCAGUAGUCCCUGUCUCUUAUAC